UGACCAGCCCUUCAGCUCUACUGGUUUCUUCUCUGGUUGGAGUUUCAGCACUUCUAGGAGGAGGGAGGCCUUUCUCUCUGAGAGGUCUAUGGACCAGACUGCAGGAGCUGACUGGUAAACUGGCUGUAAUGCUGGAAGGACACUCCUGCCUGUUUGAGUCUCAUAGUCCUUCACAUUGGAGGAAAUCUGAACAAACAGUUUAAAACACAGAUGAUAUACAGCCCUUCAGCUCUACUGGUUUCUUCUCUGGUUGGAGUUUCAGCACUUCUAGGAGGAGGGAGGCCUUUCUCUCUGAGAGGUCUAUGGACCAGACUACAUGACUGGCUGACUGGUAAAGUGGCUUCAAUGAUGGAAGGACACUCCUGGCUGUUUGAUUCCUAUUGUACUUCACAUGUGAGUACAGAUCCAGCAGGAUGUCAUCUCUCUCAGUUUGAUACACAGAGAACAGUGACAGCAGUGUGUUCACAGUUCUCUGGAACGUUUCUCUGUGAUCUAGUGCUGCUUGUAGACACAAAUCUAGUAGGGCUGCUUUCUCUUCUGUUUCCAGUCUUUCAAGG
rnacentral:lncRNA from 1 species